AGACCCGAAACCCGGUGAUCUAGCCAUGGGCAGGUUGAAGGUUGGGUAACACUAACUGGAGGACCGAACCGACUAAUGUUGAAAAAUUAGCGGAUGACCUGUGGCUGGGGGUGAAAGGCCAAUCAAACCGGGAGAUAGCUGGUUCUCCCCGAAAGCUAUUUAGGUAGCGCCUCGUGAAUUCAUCUCCGGGGGUAGAGCACUGUUUCGGCUAGGGGGCCAUCCCGGCUUACCAACCCGAUGCAAACUGCGAAUACCGGAGAAUGUUAUCACGGGAGACACACGGCGGGUGCUAACGUCCGUCGUGAAGAGGGAAACAACCCAGACCGCCAGCUAAGGUCCCAAAGUCAUGGUUAAGUGGGAAACGAUGUGGGAAGGCCCAGACAGCCAGGAUGUUGGCUUAGAAGCAGCCAUCAUUUAAAGAAAGCGUAAUAGCUCACUGGUCGAGUCGGCCUGCGCGGAAGAUGUAACGGGGCUAAACCAUGCACCGAAGCUGCGGCAGCGACACUCAGGUGUUGUUGGGUAGGGGAGCGUUCUGUAAGCCUGUGAAGGUGUGUCGUGAGGCAUGCUGGAGGUAUCAGAAGUGCGAAUGCUGACAUAAGUAACGAUAAAGCGGGUGAAAAGCCCGCUCG
rnacentral:rRNA from 1 species